GAUUAAGUUAUUAAGGGCGCACGGUGGAUGCCUUGGCACUAGAAGCCGACGAAGGACGUUACUAACGACGAUAUGCUUUGGGGAGCUGUAAGUAAGCUUUGAUCCAGAGAUUUCCGAAUGGGGAAACCCAGCACGAGUUAUGUCGUGUUAUCUGCAUGUGAAUACAUAGCAUGCAAGAAGGCAGACCCGGAGAACUGAAACAUCUUAGUACCCGGAGGAAGAGAAAGAAAAAUCGAUUCCCUGAGUAGCGGCGAGCGAAACGGGAAGAGCCCAAACCAAUAAGCUUGCUUAUUGGGGUUGUAGGACACUCUGUACGGAGUUACAAAAGAAUU
rnacentral:rRNA from 1 species